GGAUAAGUAGUUUAAACUUAAAACAUAACGCUGAAAAUGUUAAAAUGGCAUCAGCCCUUCUCCA
rnacentral:tRNA from 1 species